rnacentral:rRNA from 1 species
AUUGAACGCUGGCGGCAGGCUUAACACAUGCAAGUCGAGCGGUAGCACAAGAGAGCUUGCUCUCUGGGUGACGAGCGGCGGACGGGUGAGUAAUGUCUGGGAAACUGCCUGAUGGAGGGGGAUAACUACUGGAAACGGUAGCUAAUACCGCAUAACGUCGCAAGACCAAAGAGGGGGACCUUCGGGCCUCUUGCCAUCAGAUGUGCCCAGAUGGGAUUAGCUAGUAGGUGGGGUAAUGGCUCACCUAGGCGUCGAUCCCUAGCUGGUCUGAGAGGAUGACCAGCCACACUGGAACUGAGACACGGUCCAGACUCCUACGGGAGGCAGCAGUGGGGAAUAUUGCACAAUGGGCGCAAGCCUGAUGCAGCCAUGCCGCGUGUGUGAAGAAGGCCUUCGGGUUGUAAAGCACUUUCAGCGAGGAGGAAGGUGGUGAACUUAAUACGUUCAUCAAUUGACGUUACUCGCAGAAGAAGCACCGGCUAACUCCGUG